rnacentral:rRNA from 1 species
AUGAGCGAAAGUCCUGGAGGUUCACAACAUCCUCGGAUCUCUCUUUACGCUGAUGAUGCUGCCAUCUUCAUUGCCCCUUCGGUGCAGGAUAUAUCCUGCCUGGCAAAUAUUCUUCAAGGCUUCGGGGAGGUUACGGGCAUGGUGACCAAUGUGGCUAAGAGCUCUAUUGCCCCAAUUCGCUGCUCCGAUGUUGACCUCACCGCAGUUCUGGCAAACUUCUCGGCGGCUAUCACCCAGUUCCCUCUCAAGUAUUUGGGGUUGCCCUUGUCGCUUGGUAGACUCAGAAGGACCGACCUUCAGCCAUACAUUGAUAAAGCUGCGUCAAGGUUGAACCCUCUGAAAGGAAGAUUCCUAAAUCGGGCGGGG